rnacentral:rRNA from 1 species
UACAGAGGGGGCAAGCGUUAUUCGGAAUUAUUGGGCGUAAAGGGCGCGUAGGCGGCUUGAUAAGUCAAAGGUGAAAUCCCUCGGCUCAACCGAGGACCUGCCUUUGAUACUGUCUCGCUUGAGGCCGGGAGAGGGUAGCGGAAUUCCCAGUGUAGCGGUGAAAUGCGUAGAUAUUGGGAGGAACACCAGUGGCGAAGGCGGCUACCUGGACCGGUUCUGACGCUGAGGCGCGAAAGCGUGGGGAGCAAACAGG